rnacentral:rRNA from 1 species
AUUAGAUGAGCCUAUAUUAGAUUAGCUAGUUGGUGGAGUAAUAGCCUACCAAGGCAAUGAUCUAUAGCUGAUCUGAGAGGAUGAUCAGCCACACUGGAACUGAGAUACGGUCCAGACUCCUACGGGAGGCAGCAGUGGGGAAUAUUGGACAAUGGGCGAAAGCCUGAUCCAGCUAUGCCGCAUGAGUGAAGAAGGCCUUUGGGUUGUAAAGCUCUUUUAGUGAGGAAGAUAAUGACGGUACUCACAGAAGAAGUCCUGGCUAACUCCGUGCCAGCAGCCGCGGUAAUACGGAGAGGGCUAGCGUUAUUCGGAAUUAUUGGGCGUAAAGGGCGCGUAGGCUGAUUAAUAAGUUAAAAGUGAAAUCCCGAGGCUUAACCUUGGAAUUGCUUUUAAAACUAUUAAUCUAGAGAUUGAAAGAGGAUAGAGGAAUUCCUGAUGUAGAGGUAAAAUUCGUAAAUAUUAGGAGGAACACCAGUGGCGAAGGCGUCUAUCUGGUUCAAAUCUGACGCUGAGGCGCGAAGGCGUGGGGAGCAAACAGGAUUAGAUACCCUGGUAGUCCACGCUAUAAACGAUGAAUGUUAAAUAUGGGACG